rnacentral:lncRNA from 1 species
AUGCGUGCCGCCGGGUCCAUUCCAGAAGGUCUCUGGCCCUGGUUCCCGGAGUGGCGAGCCGGAGACGUGGCCGCAGCCCUGGCUUGCGCUCUGCCAGGUCCCUGCCUUUCCUCCCAACCUAAGGUAACCUUUUCUGGAGCCGACGUCCCGUGCCAGGCACCACCAAACCCUCUCCCGGCAACGCCGGGUUUGGAGUCUCAGUCUAAACAUCAACAGGGGCCGUCAACUUCUUUUCACAUCCAGUCGCCUCCCGCGCCAGCGCGACGCGGGGAGCCCAGCGCGAUCCGGGGGUGCGGGAGCCAGAGGCGGCGGGAGGCGGAGGGGGGCCCAGGAGGAAGAGCGCGCGGGGCCGAGCCGCAGGGCGCAACGUGGCCAGGCGCACACGCGCUAGUGCACAGUGUGAGCGGCCGGACCCGGCGACCCGACCCUCGGAGCGGUCCCUCGCCCGCCAGCCACCGUCCCGGGCGCAAGACUCAGCCACUGAGAAGGGGGAAACGCUACGGAAAGCCAGAGCACCCCCCGCGCCGGGUGCGCUCCGUGGACGCCGGCGCCCCCGGCACCUGCUGCUUGCACAGAUCGCACGGGCUCGGUGAAAUCUCACAGAGGACAGUGACAGGGGCGCGUGCCCAUCAACGGACGCUCGGACGGACGGACACACAGACAGACAGACAGAGGUGCACCGCAGAGCAGCGAGCGGACGGGCUGACCGAAGCCACCGACGGGCGACGUUUUCCCGCGACCCUGCCCCCGCUCCGAGCUCGGGGCGUCCGCGCUCCCGGCCCUCUUACCUCCGGGUCCGCGGCGGCGACGGCGGCGGCGGCGGCACGCCUCCCGGGCCGGGAGCGCGGCGGUAGGGGCGGUGCGGCGGCCCCAGCCCAGGGCCCCCGCGCGCUCCGGGGACGUGCGCCGGCGGAGGGACGGCUGCGCCGGAGAAGCGAAGGGCUCCGCGCCCGGCCGGCCGCGCUCUGUUCUGGACGCCCCGCGCCUACCGCGCCCGCCAGUCCGGCCCCACCGGCC